UACAGAGGUGGCGAGCGUUAUUCGGAAUUAUUGGGCGUAAAGGGCGCGUAGGCGGCCAGAUAAGUCCCGGGUGAAAUCCCUCGGCUCAACCGAGGAACUGCCUUGGAAACUGUCUGGCUCGAGGCCGGGAGUGGGUAGUGGAAUUCCCAGUGUAGCGGUGAAAUGCGUAGAUACUGGGAGGAACACCGGUGGCGAAGGCGGCUACCUGGACCGGUUCUGACGCUGAUGCGCGAAAGCGUGGGGAGCAAACAGG
rnacentral:rRNA from 1 species